GUGACAAGUAGAGGCUAUUUUAAGGAAACAUCUGCUGUAUAACAUGGAAUCAAGAGACAGACUGAUUGUAUCUAUGAUGAGCUUCUCAUUUAUGAACUCGCUUUUGUAAACUUAUGAGAGAAAGUUGAAAGGACAAAAUAACAGAACAAAACAAGAGAUAAUUCUGUUACUAAAAGAAUAUGUUCAAAAUGCCCUAACC
rnacentral:lncRNA from 1 species